rnacentral:rRNA from 1 species
AUUGAACGCUGGUGGCAGGCCUAACACAUGCAAGUCGAACGAGUGGCGGACGGGUGAGUAAUGUCUGGGAAACUGCCUGAUGGAGGGGGAUAACUACUGGAAACGGUAGCUAAUACCGCAUACCAUCGGAUGUGCCCAGAUGGGAUUAGCUAGUCGGUGGUGUAAAGGCUCACCUAGGCGACGAUCCCUAGCUGGUAUGAGAGGAUGACCAGCCACACUGAACAAGAGACGCGGUCCAGACUCCUACGAGAGGCCGAAGGGGAGAAUAUUGCACAAGGGGCGCAAGCCUGAUGCAGCCAUGCCGCGUGUAUGAAGAAGGCCUUCGGGUUGUAAAGUACUUUCAGCGGGGAGGCGUUACCCGCAGAAGAAGCACCGGCUAACUCCGUGCAAGCAGCCGCGGUAAUAC